UUUUUUUCUCAUUGAAUGCACAGGCAGAGUGACUUUCAAACAGCUUUGUUCACACUGUGCCUGAUCCUGGCUGAAGUGGUUUACAUGCAAAUAAAACCGCAAUUCGGUUAUUUUUGAUCAACGGGUAUGUUGAUCAUUUUGAUCACAGUGUCACAGUGAACAGAAAUGUGAUGUAAUCCCCUACAGGACACCUUCAUAACAUUCAUAUUUCCAGUGACCCGUCUCUCUAAAUUUACCUUGUGUAGACUGAAUCACUGUCUACCCAGCAGGCACUGUUGCUGCCGGUCACACUCUAUCAGCUCCAUUUCACAGCCAUGUUUGUUUGCCUUCAAGAGCUGUGAUGUUACAGAGCAUCGUCCGUCUGUCGCAAUCAUCACAUUCAGUCAUUCUUGGGCAAUCUUUGAGUGGAAAACACACCAGAGUACACCAGGGAAUGUGUUUGUGAGAGAGUGUGUGUUUGUGUCAUUAUAGGAGACUUACUUCACAAUAGCUUCAAGUUUGGUCCUUUGUAGAGUCGUAAUGAGCAAUUUAAAGUGCAUAAAACUUUCAACUCCCUCUUAUAAAAGACUGCUUCUUGCACUGUUGAAACAACUUUUGAUCAGACACAUCAACCAGGGCUGUAGCUGAGGUCAUGUCCUCUGUACUUUUUUUCCAGGAAAUUUGGGGAUCCGAAGCAUAGAUUUUAAAUUUUAUGAUUUCAAGUCACACAUUAUGGGACUUUGAAAUUGUGAGACCAACUUUCUUUUAGACUUGGACAUACACUAAAAAAGUAAAUAAUAAAAUAAUAAGUAAUUAUAACAAUUGAAUAAUAACAAUUCAA